CCGCGCGGCGGCGGGCGGGGACCUGCCCCGCUCCCCGCUGACGGGAGGCCGAGACCGCCUCAGCUCCAGGAGCCGACGAAGAGCCCCGGCCACGGCCGUUUGGCUGGCAGAGUCGCGGUCAGUCAUAGGCCCCGCUCGCAGACGGGCACCUGCCGCGCUGGUGGGCCGGAGCCAAGCCCGAGUGGGCGGGCGGUGAGCUCCGUGGCAGGGUGCGGUGUACAACUUGGACCCGACUUGGAAGGCGUGACGGAGGUUUAGAAAGGCAAUUUCAGAGGGAGGAUGAGCCUCAACGCUCGCAGACAAGAACUACAGCAGCAGGACCCCUCCACCUCCCACCCCUGAGCUACCUACCCACCACUGUUCUAUCCACUUGCAUCAUACCUGAUGGUCUCACCACAGCCUUUAUGAGCAGCCCAGACUUCCUCAACACCUUUGGGAAAUAUGGUGCUGACUUCUCAUGUUGAAAUUGAAGCACCCAGUGAAUCAGAAUGAGAGCCAUUUCCGAGCACAAGAGAACAGACACAUGCUGCAGAGAUCUUUGUGAGAUAGUUUGUUUCCUGUGAUGCUACUUAAGGAGUUUGACUUAGACAAAGCUAGACUGUGUGCUGUAGAUGGCAGAAGGGGAUCACAGCAUUGCCGGUAGGUCAAGCACAGGGAGCACUUGGGACACCAAGGAUGUGUUCGCAGUUUUGCUGCUGGCCUGCUCCGUGACAUACAAAAGACAUGUCACAU